UAAGCCCAUUAAGAACAGCCCUCAUCCACUGCUUUGUUUGCUCUACUGUAGGUAGGCAACCUUUUAGCAACUCCACUGAUAAAAGAAAAGGCGGCCAUUCAUGUUGUUGGACUACUGUUGCAGGUGUUGUGGGUAUACUCUGAAGCGCUAUGGACCAACAUCAAUCAAGAUCAAGACCAACGUCUGUGAAACAUGGGCUACAUGAGGUUGACAGCCUUUUAGCGCCCUUUGAUUACACAACACAACCAUCAUAGCAAAGUCCAAAAUACCUAGUGACUGUGAUCUCCAUGGAGGUGACUUAUCUUUUGGGAGGCUUGAUAUUUGCGUGGAUCGUGGAGGAGUGGGUAUGGGACUACACCAUCACAGUCACACUAAUACACAACGGUCUGACAGUAGCAGUUAUGUCAGAUUUUUAAUCACCAGAACAUUAUUGGAUUGCUCUUGGUUCUGGAUUGGUGAUGAUGAUGGAGGCCAACUUCUAUCAUACAAGCUUUUCAGGAAUAAUGAUGUGUAUCCAGAAGAGCUCCAACAUGUCUGGCAAAAACAUUUACAGUAGCUUUUCUUCUACAAAAUAAUGUAGUUUUAUAUUCUGUUUUUUUACUGCACACUUUUGGUACACUAUGAAUCCACAUAUUAUAUUUUGCAAUUAUAGGUUGUUUGGAAGGAAUUGUUGGGAAUAUUAAACACUUCUUGCCAACAAUGCUUUUUGCUUUAUGUAUCUUGUCCAUAUCCUCCUCCAUGCCAUUGAAAAGAAUAAGGAAUCACGUGAUCUUUUUAGAGGUGGAAUAAACACAAUUGUUAUUACUGCGUUAUUAUUGUAACAAAGUGUUAUUACAAAGUGUUAUUACUGCGUUAUUACUGGAACAAAGUGUUAUUGCUGUAACAAAGUGUUACUACUGAGUUAUUACUGGAACAAAGUGUUAUUACAAAGUGUCAUUGCUGUAACAAAGUGUUACUACUGAGUUAUUACUGGAACAAAGUGUUAUUACAAAGUGUUAUUGCUGUCUUAUAACACAUUACCUCAUUAAAACGCUAAGAAACCUUUGGGAUAGCAUAGUGGUGAAUGUGAUUAAGCCUAAGCAUCUGUUGUCUGUUAAAGCCCUUUGGAUUAAGCAUGCUUAGAAUUACUGAGGCAGUAGUGAGCAGUCAGUCAGUCGCUCCUCCUCAUUACCUUGACUGGUGUCAUUUCAGUACUGAAACCAACAUCCGUCUCUUGAAGGGGGUCAGUCUGCUGAUCAC